CGUGAGCUCUCUAAUGCAGCGUGAAAACGCCCCUUCCAGAAGGCCCAACCAAAGCAGCUCUCCCGCCGCGCUUGCGGUCAGCCACCGGCACGCUCGCCGCCCACGGGAACCCUAAUCUCUCCGUGUUCUCGCCGUGGCAUCACGAUAAGACGGCGAUACCCUCGAGAUACGAUUUGUACUCAUGUCUCAUUAGUCUGCUGCAGCUGACAGCUAUUGCAAACUCCUAACAGUGAAUGCUACAUUAACACUUUGUCCUUGUUCUAGCAGUAAGAAGAUCUUGUGGGUUACUAACCAGGCUUCAUAACUCUGAAGUGCCAAAAGGUGCAGCUGACCUUGUUAUUGGAUUUCAUCUGUCAUUUGUACGACAUACUUAACGUUACAGGUACUUCUGGACCCACAGGUCAUUUAAGUAAAUGACAUUCUUGAUUGUGGUAGAUUGAGCAAACCAAACAUGCUAAGUUGGUUAGGCUGAGUUGAAGCUUGAGAAAAGGAGAAAGUUGGUGACAGAUCUAGAAUUCUUAAAAGCUAUCCAAGAUGAUACUACAUGUCAUUGAAAAUGAAAAUUUUUGUCCUGCAAGUCUUAAGUGCAAACAAGAAAGCCUAGAGCCCUCCUCAUUUAUGCCUGUUCUCACUGAUUGAGGAGUAAGAAUGAAGAAAUAUUGAUGACUUGUUAGGAAAUCAAACCUUAUUUGUGGUGUUCAAGUCUUGAACCGCAUCCAAAGAAGCCUGGACGCGUUCUCAUUCACAUCUGCAGCCUCCUUGAUGGACUCUGAUGAGCAAAACUUGAUACAGGAUUCAGGAUCUUUUUAUGUCUGGUCAUCGGCUGUUCAAAACAAAGUACUGAGCUACCAAAACUAAUCUCUGAGUCAGAUAUUUAAAUAGAUUUAUCGUCCCAUUGUUGUGUCUUUGUUAUUGUUGCUGGUAUCAUUGUUUAGCUACAAAAGUUUAAAGAAGUGAAGUGUCCUCCCUUAUCAUAUGAGGGUGACUACUUAACCAACGCCUUUUCUCUGUGGCAUGUUGCUGGUGGGGACAACCUAAACCUCCUCUCUUUUUCAUCGGAGAGGGUAUGCUUUUGUUUGUUGUUGCUCUUCCAUUCAGAUGACAGUUUUGUUGCGCCUACUUUGCUUUUUUCUUCCUUUAUUUUCUAGGACCUGGUAAAUGCACUCACUCCCUUUGCUGGCCGAUGCGCUCCUCUAUUGCCCCAGACAGUGACAAUGUUCUUAUUACAAAAUUCUAAUUAUUUGUGCUUCUUUUAUA